rnacentral:rRNA from 1 species
AAUGAACGCUGGCGGCAGGCCUAACACAUGCAAGUCGAACGGAUCCUUCGGGAUUAGUGGCGGACGGGUGAGUAACGCGUGGGAACAUACCCUUUGGUACGGAAUAGCCUCGGGAAACUGGGAGUAAUACCGUAUGUGGUCGAGAGACGAAAGAUUUAUCGCCAAAGGAUUGGCCCGCGUUGGAUUAGGUAGUUGGUGGGGUAAUGGCCUACCAAGCCGACGAUCCAUAGCUGGUUUGAGAGGAUGAUCAGCCACACUGGGAAUGAGACACGGCCGAGACUCCUACGGGAGGCAGCAGUGGGGAAUCUUAGAAAAAGGGGGAAAGCCUGAUCUAGCCAUGCCGCGUGAUCGAUGAAGGCCUUAGGGUUGUAAAGAUCUUUCAGGUGGGAAGAUAAUGACUGUACCACCAGAAGAAGCCCCGGCUAACUCCGUGCCAGCAGCCGCCGUAA